UACAGAGGUCCCAAGCGUUGUUCGGAUUCACUGGGCGUAAAGGGUGCGUAGGCGGUCGGGUAAGUCUGAUGUGAAAUCUCCCAAGCCUAACUUGGAAACUGCAUUGGAUACUAUCCGGCUAGAGGAAUGGAGGGGAGACUGGAAUACUUGGUGUAGCAGUGAAAUGCGUAGAUAUCAAGUGGAACACCAGUGGCGAAGGCGAGUCUCUGGACAUUUCCUGACGCUGAGGCACGAAAGCCAGGGGAGCAAACGGG
rnacentral:rRNA from 1 species